GACGUAGGGCGCGAGCGUUGUCCGGAUUUAUUGGGCGUAAAGAGCUCGUAGGCGGCUUGUCGCGUCGACUGUGAAAACCCGGGGCUCAACUCCGGGCCUGCAGUCGAUACGGGCGGACUUGAGUGUUGCAGGGGAGACUGGAAUUCCUGGUGUAGCGGUGAAAUGCGCAGAUAUCAGGAGGAACACCGGUGGCGAAGGCGGGUCUCUGGGCAACUACUGACGCUGAGGAGCGAAAGCGUGGGGAGCGAACAGG
rnacentral:rRNA from 1 species